rnacentral:lncRNA from 1 species
GCAAUGCCAGAUCUGAGCCACUUCUGCGACCUACGCCACAGUUCAUGGCAAUGCUGGAUCCUUAACCCACUGAGUGAGGCAAGAGAUCGAACCCUCAGCCUCAUGGUUCCUAGUCGGAUUCGUUUCCACUACACCACAAUAGGAACUCUGGAACUUCUAAUUUUUAAUAAUAAACGUUUAUAUUAAGAAACAAACAACUAGAGCUAUUCUCUAGGAAAAGGCUAUUAUUCCAUGUUUCCCUUAGUCUAGGGCUCUAAGUGAAGGUGAAAAGGAGCACAUAAGACCCUUCCUAAUUCCAUUAAUUUCCUUGAAAAAUUUAUAGGGACAUUACCAACCUCUGGUCUAAUCAAAUAGAGAAAAAAGGAAGGAGGGUCAGAGGAUACAGACAGAGGAUACUCUGAUCAAAUCUGGAUGCGAUAAUUAAAUGGAAGCAGCAGGUUUUAUUUUCUCCUGCCUCAGUCAAAAACUACAAAUCUUUCUUUCAACCUAUAAAGAUAACUUUUCUAACUACAGUCAGAAACUAGUUUCCUGGAGGAAGAUGCAUGCUGCUUUGCUGUUGGCAUUUCACACUCUGCCCAGUGGUAUAAACACACUAUAUCUCAGCCAAUCUGGCAAACAGAUCUCUAAAACCCAAAAGUUAUUUCACCACAACUGCCAAUAGAUAGAAUUGUUUCCCUGCACUACUAGGUUACAGUGCCCUCCGACUUUGUAAACAACGAGUAUAUUAACUACGACAAAGUAAAAUGGGGUAUUCUCUCUCUCUCUCUCUCUUUUUUUUUUUGUCUUUUGUCUUUUUAGGGGCAUACCCAUGGCAUAUGUAGGUUCCCAGGCUAGGGGUCUAAUCGGAGCUGUAGCUGCCAGCCUACACCACGGCCACAGCAACACUAGAUCCCAGCCAUGUCUGCGACCUACACCACAGCUCAUGGCAAUGCCGGAUCCUUAACCCACUGAGGGAGGCCAGGGAUCGAACCCGCAACCUCAUGGUUCCUAGUUGGAUUCGUUUCCGCUGCACCACAAUGGGAACUCCUAAAAUGGGAUAUUCUUUAUCAGACUUACACAAGCACUUUCUCUCUUUUUUUGGCUUUUUAGGGCCAGACCUGUGACAUAUGGAAAUUCCAAGGCUAGGGGUCAAAUUUGAGCUGUACCUGCAACCUACACCACAGCACACGGCAACACCAGAUCCUUAACCCACUGAGUGAGGCCAGGGAUCAAACCCAUGUCCUCAAGGAUACUCAGCAGGUUCAUUACCUCAGAGUCAUGAUGGCAACUCCCACAAGCACCUUCUAAUAGAACUUUCUGAAUGAUGGAAAUGUUGUGUAAUUUGUCCAGAGAAGUAUAAUUUGUCCAAAGUUGUCUGGAGAAGAGGGGGAUGCGGUGAGAAGGGGUCUGGAGCAAAGUUAAGCUUCAUAGAUACAUUCACUAUCUGGACUGUAGUGAUGAUUUCAGAUUUAUCUGAAAUCUAUGAUAAAGUGUAUGCUUCAAAUACAUACAUUUAUUAUAUUUUAAUUAUACUUUUAUAAAGAUGAAAGUGUGUGUGUGACCCACUGUGCUAGAAACACGUAGAGAAUAUCACUUUGGUUGAAGAGCUGCUUUGGGGAAUUCCGCUAGAGCUUCCAUUCAAGAAGCUGAUCUUUGUUGAUCCUGGACUAAGAUAGAUCAGAAGGGUCAGAACACAGACCAAAUCCAAGGGAACCAGCCCUAAGGAUCUCCUGGCUGGAGAUGCUGAAGAGGGAAACAGGAACCCGAUCACAUAGACCGGGUAGUGCAUGGAAUUCAAAAUGUAAUGGGAUAACAUCGGGGGAUUUAAGCAGGGAUUUCAUUUUCAGUGCUCCCUUUGUAGUUGCUGCGGCUGCAUUUGUUUAUAUAGAUAAUACACUCCCAUGGUUCAAGAGCUCAAUCCCUAUAAAGAGGUAUACAGCAAAAAGUCUUCUGCAUUAGUUAUCUAUUGCUAUGUAACAAAUUACUCCAAAAUUUAAUGGCUUAGAACAAUAAACAUGUAAUAUUUCACAGUUUCUGUGGGUCAAGGAUUUGAGAGUGACUUGGCUGGGUGGUUCUAUCUCAGGGUCUCUCAGGAAGUUGCAUCAAAACAUAGGCCAUGACUACAAGCACCGGAGGGUUUGCCUGGGGAAGAGGAUCCGCAUCCAAGAAGGAACACUCACAUGGCUCUUGUCUAGAGACCUUCAUAGACAGACCCCUCUUCAGGUGUGGAAGGUCUGAGUGCCCCACACCAAGGUAGGUGGCUUCUGCUAAAGCUAGUGAUCCAAGAAAACAAGAGAUGCUCGUAUCUUUUACCAUUAUGAAAUUUUUUUUUUUUUUGGUCUUUUUUAGUGCCACACCCAUGGCAUACAGAGGUUCCCAAGCUAGGGGUCCAAUCGGAGCUGUAGCUACCGGCCUACACCACAGCUCACAGCAACGCCAGAUCCUUAAUCCUGAGCAGGCCCAGGGAUCGAACCCAUGUCCUUGUGGAUACUAGCCAGGUUCGUUAACUGCUGAGCCACAACAGGAACUCCCACAUAUCUUUUAUAACCCAGACUCAGAAAUUAAAUUUCAUUACAGCAGCAAUGCUCUGUAUGUUGCACAAAUCAGCCCCAUUCAGUGUGGGAGGGCACCACACCGGGCAUAAAUAUCAGGUGGUGGGAAUCAUUAGAGACUGUCUUAGAAACUGGCGGUCAUAUCUCGGUUUUUUUUUCCCCAGAAGGAGAAAGAAAAAAAAAAAA